rnacentral:rRNA from 1 species
AUUGAACGCUGGCGGUAGGCCUAACACAUGCAAGUCGAGCGGCAGCACAGUAAUAGCUUGCUCUUACAGGUGCCGACUGGCGGGCGAGUCCUAGGUACAUCCGUAUCUACUUUUUAGUACGUGAUAACGUGGGGACACUUACGCUAAUACCGCAUACGACCUACGUGUGAGAGCAGGGGAUCUUCGGCCCUUGCGCGAUUGUAUGAGCCAAUGUCGGAUUAGCUAGUUGGCGGGGUAAAGGCCCACCAAGGCGACGAUCCGUAACUGGUCUGAGAGGAUGAUCAGCCACACUGGAACUGAGACACGGUCCAGACUCCUACGGGAGGCAGCAGUGGGGAAUAUUGGACAAUGGGCGCAAGCCUGAUCCAGCCAUGCCGCGUGUGUGAAGAAGGUCUUCGGAUUGUAAAGCACUUUUGUUGGGGAGGAAGAGCAGCAGGUUAAUACCUUGCUGUUUUGACGGUACCAAAAGAAUAAGCACCGGCUAACUUCGUG